GCCCGGGUGGCUCAGUCGGUUAAGUGUCUGACUUUGGCUCAGGUCAUCAUCUCACAGUUUGUGAGUUCGAGCCCCACAUCGGGCU
rfam:Felis catus isolate Cinnamon breed Abyssinian chromosome A2, whole genome shotgun sequence.